AUUGGACGCCAUAGAGGGUGAGAGCCCCGUACGUGGUCGCUAGCCUUUACCGUGUAAAGCCCCUUCGACGAGUCGAGUUGUUUGGGAAUGCAGCUCUAAAUGGGAGGUAAAUUUCUUCUAAAGCUAAAUACUGGCCAGAGACCGAUAGCGCACAAGUAGAGUGAUCGAAAGAUGAAAAGCACUUUGGAAAGAGAGUUAAAAAGCACGUGAAAUUGUUGAAAGGGAAGCGCUUGCAGCCAGACUUGCCUGUAGUUGCUCAUCCGGGUUUUUACCCGGUGCACUCUUCUACGGGCAGGCCAGCAUCAGUUUGGGCGGUUGGAUAAAGGCCUCUGUCAUGUACCUCCUCUCGGGGAGAUCUUAUAGGGGAGACGACAUGCAACCAGCCUGGACUGAGGUCCGCGCAUCUGCUAGGAUGCUGGCGUAAUGGCUGUAAGCGGCCCGUCUUGAAACACGGACCAAGGAGUCUAACAUCUAUGCGAGUGUUUGGGUGUCAAGCCCGAACGCGUAAUGAAAGUGAACGGAGGUGGGAACCUUUCGGGGUGCACCAUCGACCGAUCCUGAUGUUCUCGGAUGGAUUUGAA
rnacentral:rRNA from 1 species